rnacentral:rRNA from 1 species
UACGAAGGGGGCUAGCGUUGCUCGGAAUCACUGGGCGUAAAGGGUGCGUAGGCGGGUCUUUUAAGUCAGGGGUGAAAUCCUGGAGCUCAACUCCAGAACUGCCUUUGAUACUGAAGAUCUUGAGUUCGGGAGAGGUGAGUGGAACUGCGAGUGUAGAGGUGAAAUUCGUAGAUAUUCGCAAGAACACCAGUGGCGAAGGCGGCUCACUGGCCCGAUACUGACGCUGAAGCACGAAAGCGUGGGGAGCAAACAGGG